AAUAGUUUAAAUAAUUUCGAUCAAAAUUGUUUAACAAGUGUCGAGUUGUUAUUAAUAAGCAAGAAAAAAAAACAUGAGUAUGGAUAAAUUUUAUUAUGGAGAUUAAACAAGUUCAAUUAUUUGGUUCGGUAUUUUUGGGUUUUAGAUCAUGUUUCCAAUAAUAAAUUUUUGACAUGAUUUUCUUGCGAAUUUACAAAAUCGAUCGAAUGAUCCGCGAACAAAGUUUCAAUAGCUUAAUUUGGAUCAAUCCUUUUCUUAGUCAUGGGAAUUCGGACUCGUCAAAUAGUGGUUCUCAAAGUGUGCCCCACAGCGCAUUGGUGCGCCCUAUGAUAUUCCAAAGAAAUGUGUGUCCAGAGAUAAAAUAUAGUUAUUCUAUUAUACCGUUUAAUUACCG
rnacentral:lncRNA from 1 species